rnacentral:rRNA from 1 species
GGGUUGUGAGGUUAAGCGACUAAGCGUACACGGUGGAUGCCCUGGCAGUCAGAGGCGAUGAAGGACGUGCUAAUCUGCGAUAAGCGUCGGUAAGGUGAUAUGAACCGUUAUAACCGGCGAUUUCCGAAUGGGGAAACCCAGUGUGAUUCGUCACACUAUCAUUAACUGAAUCCAUAGGUUAAUGAGGCGAACCGGGGGAACUGAAACAUCUAAGUACCCCGAGGAAAAGAAAUCAACCGAGAUUC